AGAGUUUGAUCCUGGCUCAGGAUGAACGCUAGCGGCAGGCUUAAUACAUGCAAGUCGAGGGACAGCACAGGUAGCAAUACUGGGUGGUAACCGGCAAACGGGUGCGGAACACGUACACAACCUUCCUUUAAGUGGGGGAUAGCCCAGAGAAAUUUGGAUUAAUACCCCGUAAUAUAGUUGAAUGGCAUCAUUUGAUUAUUAUAGCUACGGCGCUUAAUGAUGGGUGUGCGGCUGAUUAGAUAGUUGGCGGGGUAACGGCCCACCAAGUCUACGAUCAGUAGCUGAUGUGAGAGCAUGAUCAGCCACACGGGCACUGAGACACGGGCCCGACUCCUACGGGAGGCAGCAGUAAGGAAUAUUGGUCAAUGGACGCAAGUCUGAACCAGCCAUGCCGCGUGAAGGAUUAAGGUCCUCUGGAUUGUAAACUUCUUUUAUUUGGGACGAAAAAGGGCCUUUCUAGGUCAACUGACGUACCAGA
rnacentral:rRNA from 1 species